rnacentral:rRNA from 1 species
UACGGGGGGGGCAAGCGUUGUUCGGAAUUACUGGGCGUAAAGGGCGCGUAGGCGGUUUGCUAAGUCGGAUGUGAAAACUCUGGGCUCAACCCAGAGCCUGCAUCCGAAACUGGCAGGCUAGAGUUCUGGAGGGGGUAGCGGAAUUCCUGGUGUAGCGGUGAAAUGCGUAGAUAUCAGGAGGAACACCGGUGGCGAAGGCGGCUACCUGGACAGAAGCUGACGCUGAGGCGCGAAAGCUAGGGGAGCAAACAGG